AUACUACUCCCUCCGUCUUAAAAUUCUUGUCUUAAAUUUGUCUAAAAAUGAAUGUAUCCAGUCAAGUUUUAGUAUUUAGAUACAUUCAUUUGUAGACAAACAUAACACAAGAAUUUUGAGACGGAGAAAGUAAAUU
rfam:Hordeum vulgare subsp. vulgare, WGS project CAJW01000000 data, contig: morex_contig_169011